AGUCCACGCCCUAAACGAUGCUGACUAGUUGUUCGGGAUUUACAUCCUGAGUAACGUAGCUAACGCGUGAAGUCAGCCGCCUGGGGAGUACGGUCGCAAGAUUAAAACUCAAAGGAAUUGACGGGGACCCGCACAAGCGGUGGAUGAUGUGGAUUAAUUCGAUGCAACGCGAAAAACCUUACCUACCCUUGACAUGUCACUAACGAAGUAGAGAUACAUUAGGUGCUCGUAAGAGAAAGUGAACACAGGUGCUGCACGGCUGUCGUCAGCUCGUGUCGUGAGAUGUUGGGUUAAGUCCCGCAACGAGCGCAACCCUUGUCUUUAGUUGCUACGCAAGAGCACUCUAAAGAGACUGCCGGUGACAAACCGGAGGAAGGUGGGGAUGACGUCAAGUCCUCAUGGCCCUUAUGGGUAGGGCUUCACACGUCAUACAAUGGUGCAUACAGAGGGUUGCCAACCCGCGAGGGGGAGCUAAUCUCAGAAAAUGCAUCGUAGUCCGGAUCGUAGUCUGCAACUCGACUACGUGAAGCUGGAAUCGCUAGUAAUCGCGGAUCAGAAUGUCGCGGUGAAUACGUUCCCGGGUCUUGUACACACCGCCCGUCAUACCAUGGGAGUGGGUUUUGCCAGAAGCCG
rnacentral:rRNA from 1 species